rnacentral:rRNA from 1 species
CAGCACCUCAAGUGGUCAGGAUGAUUAUUGGGCCUAAAGCAUCCGUAGCCGGCUCUGUAAGUUUUCGGUUAAAUCUGUACGCUUAACGUACAGGCUGCCGGGAAUACUGCAGAGCUAGGGAGUGGGAGAGGUAGACGGUACUCGGUAGGAAGGGGUAAAAUCCUUUGAUCUAUUGAUGACCACCUGUGGCGAAGGCGGUCUACCAGAACACGUCCGACGGUGAGGGAUGAAAGCUGGGGGAGCAAACCGGAUUAGAGACCCGCGUAGUCC